CCUACGGGAGGCAGCAGUAAGGAAUAUUGGUCAAUGGAGGCAACUCUGAACCAGCCAUGCCGCGUGCAGGAAGACUGCCCUAUGGGUUGUAAACUGCUUUUAUCCGGGAAUAAACCUGCUUACGUGUAAGUAGCUGAAUGUACCGGAAGAAUAAGGAUCGGCUAACUCCGUGCCAGCAGCCGCGGUAAUACGGAGGAUCCAAGCGUUAUCCGGAUUUAUUGGGUUUAAAGGGUGCGUAGGCGGCCUGUUAAGUCAGGGGUGAAAGACGGUAGCUCAACUAUCGCAGUGCCCUUGAUACUGAUGGGCUUGAAUGGACUAGAGGUAGGCGGAAUGAGACAAGUAGCGGUGAAAUGCAUAGAUAUGUCUCAGAACACCGAUUGCGAAGGCAGCUUACUAUGGUCUUAUUGACGCUGAGGCACGAAAGCGUGGGGAUCAAACAGGAUUAGAUACCCUGGUAGUCCACGCCCUAAACG
rnacentral:rRNA from 1 species